rnacentral:rRNA from 1 species
UACGUAGGGAGCAAGCGUUGUCCGGAAUCAUUGGGCGUAAAGCGCGCGUAGGCGGCCCUGUAAGUCCGUUGUGAAAGUCAAAGGCUCAACCUUUGAAAGCCGAUGGAUACUGCAGGGCUAGAGUUCGGAAGAGGCGAGUGGAAUUCCUGGUGUAGCGGUGAAAUGCGCAGAUAUCAGGAGGAACACCAAUAGCGAAGGCAGCUCGCUGGGACGGUACUGACACUAAGGCGCGAAAGCGUGGGGAGCGAACAGG